AGCUGUGCUAGGUCUGUGCCUGGGAUCUGAACCUGCAAACCCUGGGCUGCCAAACUGGAGCAUGCAAACUUAACCACUACACCCGGGCCGGCCCCCAGAAUCUCCAUUUUAACAGAAUCCCCAGGGAUUGCCAUGUGUACUAAAGUUGGUGGAGCUUUGGUCUAACUCAUCGUGGGGCCGUCUGGUUUAAAGUGGUAUUGCAGCAUUGAAAGUUUAAGGAGAGACAAGGUCCAUGAGCCAGAAUCUGGUAUGGUGGUGGCAGAGUGACUGUUUCCUGUAUUUGGGCACUGCCAGCAGCUUGAUUCAGAAGACGGAUGACAAAUUUGUCACCGGGCUGCCUGGAUAAACACCAAGACCAUGGGAUCAUUUGCUUAAAGGAAAGGAGCUCGUCAGCGAUAUGAGACUCAUUUGAACAAGAGAGUCCAGGCUACCACAUCAUACCAAAUGUGCCUUGAAUAGUCAGGCCCCCCAGUUGUAUUCUAGUUGUGAGUGCCUCCGAUUGUGCUAUGUGG